rnacentral:rRNA from 1 species
CCUACGGGGGGCAGCAGUCGAGAAUCAUUCACAAUGGGGGAAACCCUGAUGGUGCGACGCCGCGUGGGGGAAUGAAGGUCUUCGGAUUGUAAACCCCUGUCAUGUGGGAGCAAAUUAAAAAGAUAGUACCACAAGAGGAAGAGACGGCUAACUCUGUGCCAGGAGCCGCGGUAAUACAGAGGUCUCAAGUGUUGUUCGGAAUCACUGGGCGUAAAGCGUGCGUAGGCUGUUUCGUAAGUCGUGUGUGAAAGGCGCGGGCUCAACCCGCGGACGGCACAUGAUACUGGGAGACUAGAGUAAGGGAGGGGGAUCCGGAAUUCGCGGUGUAGCAGUGAAAUGCGUAGAUAUCGAGAGGAACACUCGUGGCGAAGGCGGGUUCCUGGACAUUAACUGACGCUGAGGCACGAAGGCCAGGGGAGCGAAAGGGAUUAGAUACCCUUGUAGUC